rnacentral:lncRNA from 1 species
UGGACACUUGGGGACCUUAUCAUACUCCAACCUCUUCUGGUUGUAGAUAUUUCCUUACAAUUGUUGAUGAUUUUUCUAGGGCAACAUGGACACACAUAAUGGGAUCCAAAAGCAAUGCUUUUUCUAUGCUUAAGUCAUUUCUUUCUCUGGUUAAAACUCAAUUUAAUACUGUGGUUCAAACUGUUAGAAGUGACAAUGCCUUAGAAUUGGGCUCUAGCAUUGAGGGUAUUUCCUUUUUUAGCAGCCAGGGGAUCAUACAUCAAACCUCCUGCUCUCAUACCCCUCAACAGAAUGGUGUUGUUGAGAGGAAGCAUAGAACCCUCCUUGAAACCUGUAGGGCUUUGCUCUUCCAAUCUGGCAUGCUUGUAUCUUUCUGGGGAGAUUGUUUGUUGAUUGCCACCUACCUACUUAACAGAAUACCCACCAGAUUACUUCAUAAUAUAUCUCCUCAUGAAAUCUUGUAUGGGAAAGUUCCAAGAUACUCACUUGAGGACAUUUGGUUGCCUUGCCUAUGCCACUGUCCCAAUCCCUCAAAGGGACAAGUUAAAGCCAAGAGCCAUUCCUUGCGUUUUCCUGGGAUAUCCUUUUGGAAAAAAAGGUUAUAGAUUGUAUGAUCUUGUUUCAAAAAAAUAUUUGGUCUCCAGGGAUGUCAUAUUUCAUGAAUCAUAUUUUCCUUUUCAAACUGUGUCUCCUUCUGCUCAUCCUUCUGCUUCAUCUUUUCCUUUUGUUCCUUCUGGAGAACAUGAUGAAUGAUGGCUGUAUUGAAAGGUAUAAAGUCAGACUUGUUAUUAGAGGUGAUAUUCAGGUUGAAGGUAUUGAUUUCACUGACACCUUUUCUCCUGUGGUUAAAAUGUGCACUGUUAAGUGUCUUAUUGCUGUGGCUGUGAAAAAUCAUUGGAAUUUGUUUCAACUAGAUGUUAAUAAUGCUUUCUUGCAUGGUGAUUUGGAUAAGGAGGUCUAUAUGAAGCUCCCUCCAGGUUUGUCUGUUUCUGCCUCCUCUGCCUCUACUCCCUUUGUUUGCAAAUUAAACAAAUCCCUAUAUGGGCUAAGACAGGCUUCCAGACAGUGGUAUGCCAAAUUGUCUUGUGCCCUUUAUUCCAGAGGCUAUAGACAUCUUUGAAUGAUUACUCUCUAUUCAUCAAAGGUACACCAGGGUCUCUUGUGAUUGUUGCUGUUUAUGUGGAUGAUAUUAUUCUUACUGGGGAUGACUGUGAUGAAAUUGUUGACCUGAAACUGUUUCUGGAUGAUCAGUUCAAAAUUAAGGACCUAGGGUCCUUACAUUAUUUUCUGGUUGACCUGAGACAGUUUCUAGAUGAUCAGUUCAAAAUUAAGGACCUAGGGUCCUUACAUUAUUUUCGAGGCAUUGAGAUGUCAGCUGUUCUUGGUGGGAUGAUCCUUAAUUAGCAUAAAUAUAUUUCUAAUUUGCUGCAACAGUUUGACUGUGUCAAUGUCUCUUCUGUUGUUUGCCCAUUGGACAUUAAUGCAAAAUUGCAUGCUGAUUUUGGUGACCUUUUGCAUUCUCCUGAUCAGUAUUGGAGUCUUGUCGGUAAGCUCUUAUUUCUGACACAUACUAGGCCUGACAUCUGUUUUGCUGUGCAA